rnacentral:rRNA from 1 species
AGCCGCGGUAAUUCCAGCUCCAAUAGCGUAUAUUAAAGUUGUUGCAGUUAAAAAGCUCGUAGUUGAAUUUCGGGAUCAGAUUGUCGGUCGUGCCUCGGUACGCACUGGCAUUAUUGGUUCCUACCUUCUGAAGAACCGCGAUGUCAUUAAUUUGGUGUCGUGGGGAAUCAGGACUGUUACUUUGAAAAAAUUAGAGUGUUUAAAGCAGGCGCACGCUUGAAUACAUUAGCAUGGAAUAAUGAAAUAGGACGUUUGAUUCUAUUUUGUUGGUUUCUAGGAUCGACGUAAUGAUUAAUAGGGAUAGUUGGGGGCAUUAGUAUUCAAUUGUCAGAGGUGAAAUUCUUGGAUUUAUUGAAGACUAACUACUGCGAAAGCAUUUGCCAAGGAUGUUUUCAUUAAUCAAGAACGAAAGUUAGGGGAUCGAAGACGAUCAGAUACCGUCGUAGUCUUAACCAUAAACUAUGCCGACUAGGGAUCGGAUGAUGUUAAUUUUUUAAUGACUCAUUCGGCGCCUUACG